rnacentral:rRNA from 1 species
UACAGAGGGUGCAAGCGUUGUUCGGAAUUACUGGGCGUAAAGCGUGCGUAGUCGGUAUUGAGAGUCACGGGUGAAAUCCCAGGGCUUAACCCUGGAACUGCCUGUGAGACCUCAGUACUAGAGUGUGAGAGGGAUAGUGGAAUACCCAGUGUAGCGGUGAAAUGCGUAGAGAUUGGGUGGAACACCGGUGGCGAAGGCGGCCACCUGGACGGUAAC